GAUGAACGCUGGCGGCGUGCCUAAUACAUGCAAGUCGAGCGAACGGACGAGAAGCUUGCUUCUCUGAUGUUAGCGGCGGACGGGUGAGUAACACGUGGAUAACCUACCUAUAAGACUGGGAUAACUUCGGGAGACCGGAGCUAAUACCGGAUGAUAUUUUGAACCGCAUGGUUCAAAAGUGAAAGACGGUCUUGCUGUCACUUAUAGAUGGAUCCGCGCUGCAUUAGCUAGUUGGUAAGGUAACGGCUUACCAAGGCAACGAUGCAUAGCCGACCUGAGAGGGUGAUCGGCCACACUGGAACUGAGACACGGUCCAGACUCCUACGGGAGGCAGCAGUAGGGAAUCUUCCGCAAUGGGCGCAAGCCUGACGGAGCAACGCCGCGUGAGUGAUGAAGGUCUUCGGAUCGUAAAACUCUGUUAUUAGGGAAGAACAUAUGUGUAAGUAACUGUGCACAUCUUGACGGUACCUAAUCAGAAAGCCACGGCUAACUACGUG
rnacentral:rRNA from 1 species